rnacentral:rRNA from 1 species
UACGGGGGGGGCAAGCGUUGUUCGGAAUUACUGGGCGUAAAGGGCGCGUAGGCGGCCUGCUAAGUCGGACGUGAAAUCCCUCGGCUCAACCGGGGAACUGCGUCCGAUACUGGCGAGGCUUGAAUCCGGGAGAGGGAUGUGGAAUUCCAGGUGUAGCGGUGAAAUGCGUAGAUAUCUGGAGGAAUACCGGUGGCGAAGGCGGCAUCCUGGACCAUUACUGACGCUGAGGCGCGAAAGCUAGGGGAGCAAACGGG